rnacentral:rRNA from 1 species
UGACCCAGCCAUGCCGCGUGCAGGAUGACGGCCCUAUGGGUUGUAAACUGCUUUUAUAUACCAAGAAACCCCCGGACGUGUCCGGGGCUGACGGUAGUAUAUGAAUAAGGACCGGCUAACUCCGUGCCAGCAGCCGCGGUAAUACGGAGGGUCCAAGCGUUAUCCGGAUUUAUUGGGUUUAAAGGGUUCGUAGGCGGGGAAUUAAGUCAGUGGUGAAAGCCUGUAGCUCAACUAUAGAAUUGCCAUUGAUACUGAUUUUCUUGAGUGUAUUUGGAGUUGGCGGAAUAUGUCAUGUAGCGGUGAAAUGCUUAGAUAUGACAUAGAACACCGAUCGCGAAGGCAGCCAACUAAGAUACUACUGACGCUGAGGAACGAAAGCGUGGGGAGCAAACAGGAUUAGAUACCCUGGUAGUCCACGCUGUAAACGAUGAUUACUCGAUAUUGGUCUUACGAUCAGUGUC